rnacentral:lncRNA from 1 species
GGAUGUGGGAGGGUGGGCUCUGUCCUCUGGCUGGCUUUCACUUUCUGUGACCUCAGGCAGGAUGCUUGACCCCUCGGGGCUCGGUGGCUUUGUCUGCGGUGGUAAAACUGGUGACUGCUGGCACCUUCAUGGGCAGGACUAGGUUGUAAAGCAGCUGAAAACUCUCCAGGUGGGAGAGAGUUUCGUCACGGACAUCCUUUGGAUCGUCGAUGGACUGUUAUCUCCCGAGGCAACCUCCUGGUGGGUGAGAGUUCCACUCUGGAGUGUCUAAGCACAUAGCUAGAUGGACUUGGCCUGUAGCAAGCCUCAGGUGCAGGGGAGGCAAAAGGUUAUAAUUGCAUUUCUAAAGGGAUAAGUAGGAAGUAGGGAAUAAGGGGAAUCAGAGAAAAGAGAAAGAUAAUAAAAAAUAAUAACUCAUUAUAUUUUUCUUAGAAAAGUGGGGAUACUUGGUUAGACUGUUAUUACUCAUACCCAGGCCUCCUGCUCCCAGCUCCAUGAUUUUUCCUUGGCCCUGUGUGACAGGUCUC